rnacentral:rRNA from 1 species
UGGGGAAUAUUGCACAAUGGGGGAAACCCUGAUGCAGCGACGCCGCGUGAGCGAUGAAGGCUUUCGAGUCGUAAAGCUCUGUCCUAUGGGAAGAUAAUGACGGUACCAUAGAAGAAAGCCCCGGCUAAUUACGUGCCAGCAGCCGCGGUAAUACGUAAGGGGCGAGCGUUGUCCGGAAUUAUUGGGCGUAAAGAGUGCGAAGGCGACAAAUUAAGUCAGAUGUGAAAACUAAGGGCUCAACCCAUAGAUUGCAUCUGAAACUGAUAUGCUUGAGUCAAGGAGAGGAAAGUGGAAUUCCUAGUGUAGCGGUGGAAUGCGUAGAUAUUAGGAGGAAUACCGGUGGCGAAGGCGACUUUCUGGACUUGAACUGACGCUGAGGCACGAAAGCGUGGGGAGCAAACAGG